rnacentral:rRNA from 1 species
GCUUAACACAUGCAAGUCGAACGAAUUAGUGGCAGACGGGUGAGUAACGCGUGGAAACGUGCCUUUCACUACGGAAUAGUUUCGGGAAACUGAAAUUAAUCCCGUAUACGCCUUCCGGGGGAAAGAUUUAUCGGUGAAAGAUCGGUCCGCGUUAGAUUAGAUAGUUGGUGGGGUAAUGGCCUACCAAGUCUACGAUCUAUAGCUGGUCUGAGAGGAUGAUCAGCCACACUGGGACUGAGACACGGCCCAGACUCCUACGGGAGGCAGCAGUGGGGAAUCUUGCACAAUGGGCGAAAGCCUGAUGCAGCCAUGCCGCGUGAAUGAUGAAGGCCUUAGGGUAGUAAAAUUCUUUCGCUAGGGAUGAUAAUGACGGUACCUAGUAAAGAAGCCCCGGCUAACUUCGUGCAGCAGCCGCGGUNAUACGAAGGGGGC